rnacentral:rRNA from 1 species
UACAGAGGGGGGCAAGCGUUGUUCGGAAUUACUGGGCGUAAAGGGCGCGUAGGCGGCCCGCUAAGUCGAACGUGAAAUCCCCGAGCUCAACUCGGGAACUGCGUCCGAUACUGGCGGGCUUGAAUCCGGGAGAGGGAUGCGGAAUUCCAGGUGUAGCGGUGAAAUGCGUAGAUAUCUGGAGGAACACCGGUGGCGAAGGCGGCAUCCUGGACCGGUAUUGACGCUGAGGCGCGAAAGCCAGGGGAGCAAACGGG